rnacentral:rRNA from 1 species
UACGUAGGCAGCAAGCGUUGUUCGGAAUUACUGGGCGUAAAGAGUGUGUAGGCGGUGCUCUAAGUCUGUUGUGAAAAUCUCCCGGCUUAACUGGGAGGGUGCGGCGGAAACUGGAGUGCUCGAGGGUGGGAGAGGUAAGCGGAAUUCCUGGUGUAGCGGUGAAAUGCGUAGAUAUCAGGAGGAACACCUGUGGUGUAGACAGCUUACUGGACCACUUCUGACGCUGAGACACGAAAGCGUGGGUAGCAAACAGG